AGCCCCGUGGGGUAGACCCAAGCGGGCCCAACGGUCAAUCCUGCGAGGCUCUGGACCUCGCGACCCCGGUUCGAAUCCGGGCGGGGCUACCA
rnacentral:tRNA from 1 species